rnacentral:rRNA from 1 species
AUUGAACGCUGGCGGCAGGCCUAACACAUGCAAGUCGAACGAGUGGCGGACGGGUGAGUAAUGUCUGGGAAACUGCCUGAUGGAGGGGGAUAACUACUGGAAACGGUAGCUAAUACUGCAUACCAUCAGAUGUGCCCAGAUGGGAUUAGCUAGUGGGGGGGGUAACGGCUCACCAAGGCGACGAUCCCUAGCUGGUCUGAGAGGAUGACCAGCAACACUGGAACGGAGACACAGUCCAGAAUCCUACGGGAGGCAGCAGUGGGGGAUAUUGCACAAUGGGCGCAAGCCUGAUGCAGCCAUGCCGCGUGUAGGAAGAAGGCCUGCGGGUUGUAAAGUACUUUCAGCGGGGAGGCGUUACCCGCAGAAGAAGCACCGGCUAACGCCGUGCCAGCAGCCGCGGUAAUUC